CUUUCACAACUGAGCUGUAACACCGAGCUGUAACACACUUUGCUGCAACAAUGUCAACCGGGAAAUCCCAGGGCAGGACUUGUGCCCAAAGUUACGCAGUAAGAUUCUGAUACAGAGGUGCCCCUGGGGCAGAGGGUAUGAAACGUAAGUAGUCUGCAGCCCGGAAGGAGACAGUAUGAUGAACCGCCAUGGCUUGGGAGGUUCCUGGGGUCUGAGGACGGGUUGACUAGCACUGAUCCUCCACCCAGAUCCCGAGUCCGAUCUCAUAGAUCAUGGAGGAAUCUAGGGGAACAGCAGAGACUAUCUCCUCCAGGUACCUCUGUAAAUGACUGAACGGUGGGACAUGCUCCUGGUGGUGGCAGCAUCAGAAAGGUCCUAUGCUCUAUUCAGGAAUGAUAUCUCUACAGAGAAAUAAAUGAGAGAAGGAAAAGACACAAGCCUUUUUUUGCAAUGGAAAAAUGGAAGGUAGUGCCGACUGGCCAGCUGAGGCGCAAGGGCUGGAAGAGAUUAGGGGCCUCUGACGACAUCAAUAGAGAGAGAUUACCAAUGUCGGUGGAGGGAUGAUUGCUUCAGCAAGGCCUUUCAAAGGCCUGACAACUUCUCUUGAAGGAUGGCCCCAGCAGUGCUCUCUAAAGGUAGGACUGUCAGUCUGUGCGUGUGGAGAACAGUUCAAAGAAAACAAAACACUUAAGCGUAAUCUUUCAGAGGGUGAGGAAUCGUGGCAUAAUGAUGAUAAAACGCUACUUCUGGAUCUGACAUGCAGCACAGCUGUGUGACGGCAAGAAGAUUCUGGCUAAGCCAAAAUCUGUGCGUUCACUCUGCCUGCCUUUCUUCCAGAGAGAGAGGGGAACUGGGCCCAACAUACACAGGUGAUCCAGGAACUGGCCUGGUACCCAGAUCCUACAGCUGCUUCACAACCAGCCCAGAGUGAACGCUGAUCUUCCAGGAGACCCCUGCCACCACGGCUUCCACAGGGAGAUCUUGAAGCAAAUAUAUACACCUUGGAGAGGGUUACAGUAAGUCUUUCCUAAGUCUGAACCCCAGGCUCUGAAAGCCAUCCCAGGAUGAGGCCCUUUUACUUCUGUCUCUGACCUCCCAGCUCUAAGUGGCCUGGGGACAUCAGUGACUCUCCUGCAUCUGCCCUGUAAAGAGUCCACAGAGCGUUCGCACACCUCUCUCUACCGCCUUGCUCAGUACAAACGGGGGUCACCAAAGCUGAUCAAAUCACCACAGCCCAGGGCUUCCGGAGUCCCAGAAGAGCAUCCCCUAACGAAUACUAGUUCCUAUUUCGAGAAGGAAAGAUGAAAGAACCAGAAGAGAUUGGAAGGGGAAAGCCCCUUUCUAUAAGAGAGGAGGAAAAUCAAGUCAAGUCAAUUUCUCAGGAAGAAGAAGAGAAAUAGAAAACAGUGGAGAAAUGAGCACAAGGAAGGCAACAAAGGGGAUGCACCUGAGGGGGCGUAAGCCACCUCGGGUGGACCUGGGAACUGCUACUCACCACACAUUCUACUUCCUCAGCACUACAGCAACGGCAGGGACGCCAGUAAACAAAGGAUUAACAUUUUACAGGAAAAAAACAAGGUAUGAGCUGCUUUCUAUCAUUCACACCCACAUGUUCAUAAAAGCAGAAAAGAGUUAUACUGGGAAAUGGGGGAAUGAAAUCCUCCUUCAAAAUAUUUCUUAAAACAGCCCAUGCCAAAGGAAAUUUGCGAAUUUAUUUAAGUCUGGAAAACAAACAACAACAACACAGAAAUAAAACUCUCAUGCAGACCCUCAACAUCCACAGCACAUCAAGAAGAGCAGAGGAGCUGACAGCCUUGGCGAAUCGAAAGGUGCACUGAUUUCCAGCUCAAAAUCAGUUUCCUCAAGGAAAGAAUCACUACGGUUGCAUCCUGCCUUGCCUUGAAAUCCAGGGGUCACAGCCCCUGAAAUUUGAAGGAGGACUGCUUAAAAGUCUGGCAGUUUGGGGUUUAGGGGAUCCAGAAAUUCAAGUGGAAGCUCACAAAGAACGAGUAACGCAGAAUUCCCAAAGCCGUGAAACCUUGCUACUUAAGAUAAUGACAGAAAUUUAUGACUGCUUCCUUCCCCGGCAGAAAGGAGCACAACUAGAAGGCUGAAAACAACAGGCCCUUUGUGCAAGCACGUUAUGUUUUGCUGAUCCUACUGCACGUUGGCUGGGAGGGAGUUGCCAGUCUGGGCGCCCAGUGCUCUGAUGCCCCCUCAGUGGAGAAUUCUCCUCAAGGACAGCAGAUGCUAAGCCAAGUCAGGUUCCCACCAGCCGGUCACGAGAUGGAUAUGUACCGCUGGUCCCCAGAAAACUGAGAAAAGAUCUGACCUCUCUUGCAAGUCUCAUUGCAUACACCGGACUGCGUGGACCAUCAGUCAUUUCCUGGUGCCCAAAAUGAGUUAAGGAAAACCAUUCUCAAAGCUCACUGCCCUCCAGCCACACUGGCCUUCUUUCUGCUUCUCUAGUCCAUUGCAGUGGUUCCUGCCUUAGGGCCUCUGGACUUGAACUUCCCUCAGCCUGAGAUGCUUUUCCACCAGAUUAUCACCAGGCUGGCUCCCUUGCCGCUUCAGCCUUUCUGCAAAUGUCACUCUAAAGAAGCCUUUCCCUCCUCACCCUAACGAUGCUACUGGUCCCCAGUCACUCUGCCACCACCUUCACUCUGUUUUCCUCAUAGUUAACAUCUUAAUCAUCUGUUUUUAUGUAUUUGUUUUAUGUCUGUUCUCCCUGGCUAGAAUGUAAGUUCCAUGAGGACAGAGGUCUCAGCAGUCUUGUUCACCCCUGUGUCUUGGCAUCUUAAAUCCUACCUGGCACACAGUACGUGCUUAAUAGAGAUUUAUUUUUAAGAAUGAAUAAGUGAGUAAAUAAACAGACAAUGAACAGAUGAACAAGACAAUACAAUCUGGUAAAGAACCACUGGGGAAAAGGUCAAAGCAGAAUUCGUCACCUAUUAUCAACCACACUGCUGCCUUUUUUUUUUUCAAUUUCCCACGAGGGACAGGGGGUGAGGCUAUAUGUGAAUGGUAGAGUUUCGGGAAGCACAACUACAGAAGACACAGCAAUUUUAUGGUGCUUUAAACUUAAAGCCCUUCUGAAAUGAUUUGCAGGAGGUUCUUCAAAUUUAAAUAGAAGAGGAAAAAAAAAAAAAGAAAGUAUUUGGC